UAACAAGCUUCCAAGGAUGUGGGUGCCGAUGAUCCACAGACCUUCCUUUGUGCAGCAGGCCAUUAAACAACCAAAGGUAUGAAUGAACGCAGGGUUAAAAUAUACCUUUUUUUUUUCUGUUCAAGAAAAGUACUUUGCGAAGAAUACCUUUAGGUAACAAAUGCUUUCAAUAUACGAAAGAACUGAACCUAGAAGUUGCUUGGAUAAGUCAUCUGACAUAGUCCCCCACCUUCAGGCAAGCAAAGACCAAUGUCAGAGAUAGAUGAUUGCUACUUCUUUUCUUUAGCUCUGGCAAAUCUCAGUCAACACCCCCCCCCACACACACACACACUCCACAUACAUACAAUUACAAAAGCUAGUUACACAUUCUGUACAAUCACAAAAAGGAAUUUUCAUAUGCUGUACUACAUCUUUAUAUAUCAGAUGUAUCACUAAAAUUUUUAUCUGUAAAAGAAAUAGAACUGAAUCUUGCUAGUUAAACUUAGCCCAGUCCUAAGAGGCACCAGGCUGAUAACAAUGGAGGAAGAAAAAAGCAGUCAGAAAAUAUUACAGAGCCUAAAUUCUGCUACCAGCUUGGAGUGUGAUCUUGAGAAAGUCAUCUUGAAAUGACCUCUUUUUAUAACACUGAUCCAAUCUAUGAAAAAAGAAUUAUCACUGAGAUUAUUUCCAUCUGAAAGACUUUCAGAAAAUUACUUUAAUCAGAAAAGCAUAAGUCAGUGAUAUGAACAUUAAAGGGACUAUAAUAUCAUAAUAUUUGAGAUCUAGGAUUCUUUUUUUUUUUUUGAUGUUUAUUUAUUUUUGAGAGAGACAGAGACAGAAUGCGAGUGGGUUAGGGGCAGAGAGAGAGGGAGACACAGAAUCAGAAGCAGGCUCCAGGCUCUGAGCUGUCAGCACAGAGCCUGACACGGGGCUUGAACUCAAGCCGUGAAAUCAUGACCUGAGCCGAAGUUGGACGCUCAACUGACUGAGCCACCCAGGCACCCCAGAGAACUAGGAUUCUGAAGCCACACUUUCUGGGUUCAAAUCUUAGCUCUGUCACUUACUAGCUUUGGUAACCUUCUGUGUAUCUUGGGCAGAUUACUUUACCUCCCUAUUCCUCUAUUAAGAGAAAUAAUGAGAUGAUACAUGUCAAGUGCUUAGAAAGGCACCUGACGCAUAGGAAACACUCAAUAUAAUACUCAAUAAGGCACUAUUAUAAUUUUAAAGGAAAUAGAGGUUAGGAUGAUUAUUUCAACAAAUAUUUAUUGUUUCAGAGAUUGUGCUUGGUGCUGGAAUUACAAAAGUGAACAAAACAGUCAUGACCCCUACCCUCAUUGAGUUUGCAAAGAAGAGAGACAUUACCAUAAAUAUAGAAUUAGACCUGAAGGUAAAUGUUGUGAAAGAGAAAUACAUGCGGCUAGGACAGAAUAUAAGAGGGGAUUUAACUUAGGAAAAUUAGAGAAAGCUUCCACAAGGAAGUGACAAAUGAAUUAAAACAUGGACUAUUCCAGGACUUGAUGUGGCUAGAAUUCAGAGCAAGGGAAAACAAGGCCACAAAAUUGAAUAAGGGGCCAGUUCUUACAAGGCAUUGUGGGUCAUAAUAACGGUCUGGGUCUUUGUCUCAAGAGCUAUGGGAAGUCACUGAAGAAUUUUUAAGUAGGGGAGUAACACACAUUAUAGCUUCUAAAAGUUCCCUAUGGCUGUUGUAUGGGCCGAACACAUUGAAGGGAGAAAGGUAUAUAUGGGAAGACUGAUUUGGGAGUUGAGAGAGAGAAAGUUGUCAAGAAUAAUCUCAAAAUUUCUACAACUGAAAUGGUGGUAUUUGGGAGUGAGGAAUAAAAUAACUCAGUUUUAGAUAUGAGAUGAUUGAGGUGUCUUUGAGUAUGAACCUCAUCAGUUAGACAUAGGUGUCCAGAGCUCAGGGAACAGGUUGGGCUAGAGAUAAAAAUUGGGAAUCAUGCAAAUGUAGAUGUUAAAGGAAGCCAUGGACCAUAAUGUGUGCACCCAGAAGGCACAUGGAAUGAGAAUAGCAAAAGGCCAAGCUUUGAGGAAGUCUAAAUUUAAUAGCCAGAAGAGAAUAACAAGACUCCUAGGAGAGGUAGAAGGAGCUGCUGUAGAGGUAAGAGGAAAAGCGGGGGGUGGGGGGGGGGGUGGGGAAUGUUUAAGAUAACGAUGAAGUGAUCAGCAAUGUUGAAAGCAGCAAGAGAUCAAGUAUGAAUACUGAUGAUUUUUAUGAAGCAGUGAACCAAUUUCAAUGCUUCUGAAAGUCUCCUUUGGAGACUAGGUGAUUAAAAAAAUAAAAGAAGAGGAGAUUUAGAGUUCUGCAAGCAAAAGAGAGUCCUAAACAAUCAAGGAAUCUACAUUUCUUUUCCCCAAUUUCCCCUCCACACACACUAAAAAGAGAGCUACUGUUUGAAAGGGCACUUUGCUACACUGAGAGUAAGUGGCACUCUUGCACUACGCCUUAGCCAAGAGCCUAUCCAUGAAAUUAAUAAACAAAAAUAGUCUUCAUCUAUACAAGGCUUCUAUGAGAAGAAAACAGAAAGUGGGAAUUGAAACAUUUCAAUGGAUGAAAAUCUACCCCUGUAAAAACAACCAAAACCAGAAGAAAAGUAUAGAUAAUACGCCAUAUCAAAUUAAUUACUUGGUGAUGUGGAGGGGAAAAAACAACUCUGAAUUGGAAAUUCAGACUCACAGGAACAAAAAACAGAAAGAAAUCAAAUGAGAGUUGAUUGUACACAGGAAAGAAAUGGAAGUAAAAAGGCACAACCAUAUCAGAAGUGAUGACAAGAUUACAAGAUGCCCAGAAGAAGCUAUUCAAAUUAAAAGUUAAUAAGAGAUAUUGAAGAAAGCUAAGAGAAUGAAAAUAAAAUUUAAAAAGGAAUUUAAAAACUGUCAGAAAGCUGUUGAAAUGGAAGAGAGGCAAAGAAGAUCCAACAGACAUAUAUAAAAUUGGAGUUCCUGAAGAAGAAAAAGAAAACAAUGGAACAGAACUAACAUUUACAACUAUAGUCCAUAAAACUUUCCAGAAAUAAAAGAGGAUCUGAUUCUACAUAUUUAAAAAGUCCAUGAAAAAAAUUUUUUUUUUCAAUAAGAUGUCCAUCAAAUACUUGGGAAAACUAAGCCACAACAAUCAACUCCAAGACAUAUCCUAGCAAAACUAUUAGACUUUUUCAAAAAGAAAAAUCUUGGGGCGCCUGGGUGGCUCAGUCGGUUGAGUGUUUGACUUCGGCUCAGGUCAUGAUCUCACAGUUCAUGAGUUCAGGCCCUGCAUCAGGCUCUGUGCUGACAGCUCAGAGCCUGGAACCUGCUUCUAAUUCUGUGUCUCCCUCUCUCUCUCUGCCCCCCUGCCCCACACACACUCUGUCUCUCUCUGCCUCUCAAAAAUAAAGAAAACUAAUAAAAAAAUUAAAAAAAAAAGAAAAAUCUCUAAGCAAGGUAAUGAUAAUAACAUGUAAAUAGUAAGUUAAUUAAUGAACAUAAUUGCUUAAAAUAAUAAAGGCAAAAGAUUAAGUCAACAUAAGACCUCUCAAUAUCAACGUAGAAAGCAAGACAACCAUGGAGCAGCAAUUUUAAGACACUCAAGGAAAGAAAAUAUGAAUCAAGAAUUUUAUAUCCAGCCUAGGUAUCCUUCAAGUAGAAAACCAGUUUUAAACUUGCCACAACUCAGGGAAUACUACACUCAUGAACCUUUCUUGAGAAGUCUAUUAAGGACAAGCUUCAUCCUACCAGGAGAUGACUGGGAAAACUUCGUGAAAAAGGAUAGUAACCCUAGAUGUAAUGUGUAAGUGAUGAAUCAGUAAAUUCUAUUCCUCAAAUCAUUAUUACACUAUAUGUUAACUAACUUUAAAUAAAAAAGAAAAAAGAAAAAGGAUAGUAAGUACGUAUAUUCAAUGACAUAGUAAUUGUAUGUACCUAUAGUAAAUACUUACAUGCAAUUACAUAUAUGUAAUUGCAAACAGGUACUUUCCUUGGUGCAUUGACCUUAUAUCACCUGAAAAUCUUGGAAAUGGGCUGUGAGUCCUAUUUUAUUUUUUUUUUUAAAUUUUUUUUCAACGUUUUUUAUUUAUUUUUGGGACAGAGAGAGACAGAGCAUGAACGGGGGAGGGGCAGAGAGAGAGGGAGACACAGAAUCGGAAACAGGCUCCAGGCUCCGAGCCAUCAGCCCAGAGCCUGACGCGGGGCUCGAACUCACGGACCGCGAGAUCGUGACCUGGCUGAAGUCGGACGCUUAACCGACUGCGCCACCCAGGCGCCCCUGUGAGUCCUAUUUUAGAUCAUACCUUGGAUGAAGAGAGAGGUUGUGGGAUCAGGUGAAAUAAACCAGAGGGAAAGUUUCUCACUUUAAGAUGUUCUGAGGCAAUUAGGGCCAGUUCAUUCAAAACAUUUUACACUUUUACUGUAUGGUAUGGAAAUACCACAAAUCUGAGUCAAAAAAACUUCUGUGGUUCCUGUAAUACAAACUCAUGGAGACUCUCCUAACUUUGGUCUGAAUGUGCUGUUUAUCCAUCUUUUAGUUUCUGCAUUGUGGUCUAAAUGUUUUAAGUAUGUCUGAUUUUUGUCUGUGUGAACUGUGACAGGGAUAAAGUUGGGUAGGUUACUUCCUAAAUGUUUUCCUCUCCUCUGUUUAUUAUAUAACCUAGGUGUCAUAUUAAUAAUUCUAUGAUUUAGAGAGGGCUUUACUACUUUCAAAGUCUUUCACAGACAUCUCAUUUUGAUUUUGAUUUCAAGGAUGCUAAUGGAAAAUUUUAAUUUUAAGAUCUCUGUUUAUGCAUUUGUGACACUGUUUGAGCUAAGCCAAGCCAUCCGAUCUUCCCUCACAACCUCCUUCCACUAUCACCCACCCCAAGGAAAAUUUGGAUCAAGGGUACUUAAUGACAAGAGGAGGUAUAAAAUCCAGGCGUGAAAAAUUACAGCUAUUGCUUAUCAAAAAUUGAAGCAAUAAUCAAAAGUUAGGUGGCAACUAGUUUUAAGUGUCUGCCAAUAAAAUUGGGGGAAUUGGGGACAGCAUUAAUACUGCAAAGCAGAGAAUAACAAGGAAAUUAGGUAGGUGGCAGAUUAUUGACAUAACAACCUUUUUUUUUUUUUUCUUUUUUGGAAACACAGUAUUCGUGCUUAGCACUUUAGUGCCUAUGAAGAUAAACAAUGCAAAACCUGACCUUAUGGAACUCUUAUUCUAGGGAGGAAAUGGAUAUGUGCAAUUUUAAUUGUAACACAAUGCAAAUUGUGUUAAAUAUUUUAAAGUAGCAGAAAGUGGCUGUAGAAGCAUUAGAAGGAAAGAAAAAUUCCUCUUCCCAGGUCAGCAUCACCUGGGAAUUUGUUAGAAAUGCGAAUUCUCACGUCCACCCUAGACCUUCUGAAACAGAAACUCUAGGAUGGGUCCCAGCCCUGUGUGUUUUAGUAAGCCCUACCCGUAAUGUUCAUGCUGAAGUAGGAGAAACACUGAUAUCAGAUACUCAUACCUGGUAAUAUGACUUCUAGGGGGUCUAGAAAGAAAUAUUGCCAAUUUUAUGCAAAUAUUUGUGUUUCAAAGUGUUUUUUGCAGCCUAAGAUGUGAGACAAAAAAUUGAAAACAACCUAAAUAUCCAACAAUAGGGGAAUUAUUAAUCAUUAUAGUUAUAUGUCAAUUAAAAUGCCAGCCACAUCUACCAUCCUUGCUAUGGGAAACUGCUCAGCCAAGAGACACAGCCCUCCAGGUUUCCUUUAUAGAAGCCCCAUCUCUACCCUAUGAACCACUUUGCCUAUUAGAUGCCUGUUAGAUGAGGCAUGCAGUCACUCCCUAGAAGGCCAACACCCACUGGCAUGAGGCCACCUUGAAAAGCUGGCCAGGCAUGAGGUGAUGAUCAGCUGAAAUGAGUCUUCCUCUUGGCAGUUUGAACCAGGAAGUAGAAAGAAGCAGCCAGGUAGUAGAGAUAGCUGUGUAAAGUAUGUUUUUUAAAGUUUUGUUUGUGAUGAUCUCACUGUGAAAGUAAGGAAAGGGCAGGAGAGGGAGAGACAAUUCUACAGAACGUGGUUAUAAUUAUCUCUCCCUGGUAAAGAGAAGUAAAAGUAACACUGAUGCCUGGCACCUGUUUUUUAUUGUUUUUUUUUUUUAUAGAUUUAGAAUAAAAGUAAAAAUAAGCGUACCCCAUGACCCAGCAAUUGCACUUCUAAGUAUUACUCAAGAGAAAUGAAAACACAGUUUUACAAAAAGACUUGUACAAGAGUGUUCUUAGAGGCUUUAUUCACGAUAGUUAGAAACUAGAAGCAUCCCUGGUGAUCAUCAGCUGGCAAAUGAUAAAUAAACUGGCACAUUCCUACCAUGGCAUCCUACUCAGCAGUGAGGAGAAACAAACUACUGAAGCACACAACAUUUAAUGGGGUUGGCAAACCAUGGCCUAUGGGCUGGCUACCUGUGUUUGUAAACAAAGUUUUAUUGGAACAACCAACCCCAUUUGUUUAUCUAGUGUUGGGCUGUUUUCUGGCCACAUCAGCAUAAUUGAGUAGUUUUGGGAAAUUGUAUGGCCCCAAAGGCUAAAAUAUUUCAACUUAGAAAUAUUAAGGGGACGCUUGGGUGGCUCAGUCAGUUAAGCAUUAGACUCUUGAUCUCAGUUCAGGUGCUGAUCUCAAGGUUCGUGAGUUUGAGCCCUGCAUCAGGCUCUGCACUGAAGGUGCAGAGCCUACUUGGGAUUCUGUCUCUCCUUCUCUCUUCCCCUCCCCCCGAUUUGUGUGUGUGUGUGUGUGUGUGUGUGUGUGUGUGUGUGCGCGCGCGCUCUCUUUCUCUCUCAAAAUAAGUAAACUUUUAAAAAUAUAUUAAGAAAAAGUUUGCUGUGCCCUGAAUUAAUCUCAAAAACAUGAUGCUCGGUGAAAGAAGUAUAUGUUCUGUGAUUCCAUUUACAUGAAAUUCUGGAAAGGCAAAGGAAAUCUAGGUGUAAAAAAUCAGAACAGCUGUUGUCUCUGGGGACUGGGACACAAAUUGACUGGGAAGGGGCACAAGGAAAUUUUCUGGGGUGAUGAUGGUGUCAUAGAUUUUGAUAAUUAUUUGGGUUACCCAGUUCAAUGUGUUUUUUUUUUUUUAACUCAGGGGUGCACUUUUAGGAUUUUCACAUUUUAUUGUGUAGACAUGGAAAAAAUGUUAGCAAACAUUGAAAUUUAGGUAACAACAUUCAUGCUGAGUUAUUUAGGGGAAUGUAUUCUGAUAUCUACAACUUACUCUGAAAUGCACCAAACAUAGGUGGGAUUAAUGGAUGGAGAGAGGACAAUUAUGUGAAUGUAUGAUAGAGCAAGUAGAGUAAAAUCUCGAUGGAUGUUCACUAUAACAUUCUCCCAGCUUUACUUUAUGCUUGAAAUUUUUCAUAAUUGAAUAAAAACAACACUGACAAUGUUUAAGAUAGAAUUUUGAGGAUGUUUUCAUUUACAUAAAUACAAGGGCUCAAAGAUAAUAUUGUACCAACCUCUAAAUAAGAUAGAGCAACAAAUCCAAUAGUAAACAGACUCUCACUCCUUUUACAGGGUUUUAUGGAGAAAUGACCAACGAAAAACAAUUCUCUGCUUCUAACAGAGUAAACUUGCUUGAUGGGGAUAGCCCCGUUUUGAUGGCUAAGAGCUGGAAGUUGAGCCCUGUGGUCAUGAAGGAAGUUCCUGUAAUCUGUGUAUCCUUUCUGUGCAGUUGAUGCUCAAAUAUAUACCCCAACAUUUGACUUUUUCUUGGAUGUGCAGGCAAAUUUUGACUGAAGAAAGCUCACCCACAUUGCCUCUGCUUUCAGCCAUAGCUUCCUGAAUGGAGGCAGUGAGAGAAAUGUCCUACCUGUGCUCAGGUCCUGUCCUGGGACCACAACCAAGAGAAUGAAUGUCAUUGUCAUCUCUGUUCUCAAUCCCUUAAUGUAAAGUGUUCUCAGUUUGGUUAAAGUCAGGUGGAUGUUCAUGGGUUUGAAUGAGCCAGGCUAGAAACCAUUGUGUACAACAGAAGCAACAAGGUGAUGUACAAAGAGAAGGAAUACUGAGUUCAUGGGGAGUGAGGCUUGUUAAGGUGGGGCAUCGGAGGAAAUAUUUAAGGCUCUUGCCGACAUGUGGAAGCUGUUCUGGUUCUGAGCAAUUCUCAUGCCUUCACUUCCUACAAGGUCCAAUUACUUGUCUUUUGUUCUCCCUUGGCUAAUUUAGCUGAGAACCCUCUUUCCUUAUUACCUAGUGUUCUCCUUAUAAUACACUUCCUAUUUGAGGUAACCCAAAUGAGUGUUGGUUCUUAUCACCAAAAAAGAAAGAAAAGAAAAGGAAAAAAAGAAAAGAAGGCAGGAAGGCAGAAAAGUUCUCAACCAAGUUAAGUUGUACCUAUAUUUGAUCAGCCAUAGUUAAUGUGAUUUCAGUAACUUAAAAAAUAUGUACCAAAUAAAAGCCUAAAAGGUAAUAAUAACCUGAAUCAUUAAGAUCAUUUAUUAUUGGUAAGGUCAUGGUUAUUUUUUGAUCUUCUUAAUGCUUUUUAAGGUUUUCUCCUGAUUAUGGUUCAUAUGUUCCUGCUUCUUUACUUACCUACCUGAUAACUUGUUAUGCCAUGACAAGAAUUCUGUGUUAUAUUAUUGGGUUUGGGAGGAUUUAUAUUCCUUUAAAUAUUUCAUUCUGGGAUACAGUUAGGUUUUGGGGGGAAUAAUUUUAUCUUUUCAAGACUUUCUUUCAAGCUUUGUUAGGUGGGAGGCUAAUAGUCUUUUAGUUUAGAUGUAAUCUGGUCCCACAACUGAGGUAAGACAAUCUUCUGAGGAUUCUAUUUAAUGCUCCAUGUGUUCGGAGUUCUUCCUGCUCAGGAAGUUAUUCUUGGCCCUGCAUAAGCUCUGGGGAUUUUUUCUGCCUGUUUCUCUUGGGCGGUUCUUUCCCUGAAGUUUCUGUACAUGUGUCCCUUGCUCAGUGCUCACUGGAAGACUGGAGGGGACCCCUUUGACGGUAUGUGGAGCCAUCCCUUGGUAUAGCUCUCUUCUCUCCAAUACACAGCCCUGUGGAUUCUAGCUACUUUGAUCUGUGUCUCCUCGGCUCAGGGAGACCCUCUGGGUUCUGUUUGGGGGCCCCAUCCCCGUGUACAGCCUGGAAACUCUCUCCAGGCAGGACAUAAGGGCAAUCAGAGGGUUCACACCCUUUACAUUCUAUCUCUUGGGGAGCACAGUUCUUGACUGCCCACUGCUUAAUGUCUGAAAACCAGUAUUUUGUACCUUUCAUCCAGUUUUGUGUUGUUCAAGAUGGAUGAUAAAUCCAGUCCCUGUUACUCUCUUGUGGCUGGAAGCAGAGAUUCCUAAUACUUUGUGAAUGUUUCAAGUUUUAUAUAAUUUAUAUACUAGCUAUGUAGACACCCCAAAACAAGUCUUUAAAAAGUAAAAUUGUCCUAUACAGUAACAAGCAAGUUAGAACCAUGGAAGGUUUAAGCCAACAAACCCAAUUUUAUCUUCAAAUCAAUUUUUCACUAGUGAAAACACAUGAACCUAAAAUGGCAUAAAGCAGAAAUGAGAUAUCAUUUGCUCUGAAUGACUUCUAUUAAAAACAAAACAAGAACAAACAAACAAACAAAAAAAAACUACCCACCACCACCACCACUGUCACCAAAACAAACUAUAAACAUCUCAGAGAGCAUUCUGAAUUUCCAUAGAGCUGCAUAUUGUGGUGGUUGGAGCAGGGGAGCCUGGGAGCAGGCUGAGGGAAAUAGCUUUGUUUUCUCACUUAUUUAAAGCUAAUUCUGCCUUGGAGGUUCACUGCUGGCCUCGGCUCCGCCCUUCCCCCACCAACCUUGGGGGAUAUUUUGCCCAAGCAGGAAUGACACAGCCCACGGAGUCUGUUCUUGUCAGUUAUCAGGGGAGCUGUAUCUAUUAUAAACUCUCUAAAUGUGCCAAUCUAGUGGCUGUUACCCAAAGCAUGGAGGGUGCAUCCCUCCCUGAAGGGUUUCUCCUGCAGUGCCUGCUGAAGCCUGCCUCAGACCACAAGCUGAGAAGCACCUUCCCACUCUCAGAUCCAGUACACUAGAAAUGGGUGCUUGAUAUGAUGUCUUCCUGAGAUUUAUCUACCCAUUCCCUGGCCGAUGUGGAGGGAGGGGGGAGAGGAAGUAUCCUAUUUUGCUAGGCUAUUCCCCCUGUAAUCUACUUUAAACUCAACCUGGUUUCUGUUGCCUGUGCUUCUGAGUCUGGAAAAUGUGUGAGUGACCCUUUUUUCCUUAAGUUGACAUCCUCAGCUAAUACCAACUCAGGGCCCUCCUCUUCAAAGCCUCCUGUAAUCGAUUUUCUUGUCCUCUCUUGCAGUAUUUGUAUGUUAUAGAAGCUCACAUAGGAAGACAAAACCUAGCCAAGAGCAGUGUGAAGGGAAGGCUCUCUAUUGAUACUGGUCCAGAAAUGCCUUCUGGCUUCCUGGCGGCAGUUCCGGCAUGAGAUUCCUCCUCUGUUUAUACUUCCUAUCAAAAUGUUAGGACUUCAAGCUUUAGACUUCGCAAAAUCUGUAAAGCUCAACGGUGGAAAAUCACAUCCAGAGAUCAAAUUCACAAAAUCAUGUCAAAAGAAAAAAAAAAAUCCGACUUCCUCACUGCCUUACAUUUUUUUUUUUUUUAUUGUCUUAGAUUAGCCUUCUCUAGCCUUUGAGUGAGGUGGUGACACUUUAGUUUCUUAUACCUUGAGGUGUUUUCAGGGCUGCAGGUGGUAGAGGGGAGGGUGAUAGGGAUGAGGUCAGGGAGAUGCCUGCAAAGGGAAUGAAUAGACCCACAGGGUGGGAGUUGGGGUGAUGAAAAAGGAUGGUGUGGUGGCCAACUUAGUGGCUUGAGAGGGUUUCCAGACCUGAGCUGCUAGCUGAGGCCCCCGGUCCUGAGAGAGGGAAAGCAUCCCAUCAGGCAGGGACCGUGGCCAUUUUGAAUGGAGAUUCUGGAAUCACCUAAGGAAGUUUCCUAAGCCUUACUGUUGCCUCUCCCUGACCCCUUCUAGAAUCUUUCUGGCUUCUGCUGCUCUCUAGGUAAGUAGUCCACAGCCCAUGGAGCUCUGCUGGUGUAGUCUGUCCUCACCAUGAUGAUUUUCUUUGGUGCAGUAAUUAACAGAGUGAGUUCCAAAGUUAGAGGGUUCAAAUCUAGCUCUGACGACUGCAACUUAUGUCCUCUCUCUGAUCCCGCAUCUGCUAUCCCAGGGUUUGCUGUGAAAAUUAAGUGGAAGACACACAGGAACGCCUAGUGAGCUAUAGUGUUGUAAUACUGCAAGUGGCCUUUGCUGUUUACCCUGAGAAUUACAUGCAGUUCUGGGGGCUGAAUCUGCCCCUUCCUUAUUCUUCCUGUCCCUCUUUCAUCUUUUUCUGCCAUUUACCAGUUGCUGACCCUGGGCAAGUUACUAAAUAUUCUGUGCCUCAUUUAAGGUUGAUACUGGUACCUCCCUCAAAGGAUUGCAAUGCUGGUUGAAAAAGCAAUUUAAUGAAUGUCCUAAAUGAAAUCCUCAAGUAGUUUACCACAAGGAGAAGGAACAUAAAGAAGGAACUAAAGAAAUGGCUGUUUGUACUGGAGUGUGCACAGUUUUGUUUUUUAAGUGCGCACCAAGGCCACCAUCUUGAUGUGUCCAGUAGUGAUCUCAGCAGGGUAACAGAUGAGAGAGAUUCCUGGGUGGCGGUUGUCAUUAGACCUAGAGUCCCAAAGAAUUGGAGACCUAUUAAGCCACUAGCGGAGGCCAUUGCUGAUUGAGGAGGUGGUGAAGAGGAGGCCAUGAUCAUGAAGCACAAAUCCUUACAUCAGGGGAUAUUACCUAGGAAAUCUCUAGAAGUCCUUUCAGACAUUUUUGACUUAUACAGAGUUAAUUCACGUUUAGUCCUUUUAAAAAACAUGAUUAUGAGAGAUAUUAAGUAAUACCAUUUGCACAGUUAUAGACACCCCAUUUUUUAAAACCCCACUUUUAAAAAUAAAAAAGUAUAUGUUGAGGUGUCUGAGUAGCUCAAUCAGUUAAGCAUCCGACUCUUGACUUUGGCUCAGGUUAUGAUCUCACAGUCGUGAGGUCAAGCCCCAUGCUCUCUCUCUCUUUAAAAAAAAAAGUGGGGCACCUGGGUGGCUCAGUCGGUUAAGCGUCCAACUUCGACUCAGGUCACGAUCUCGCACUCCGUGAGUUUGAGCCCUGCGUCGGGCUCUGGGCUGAUGGCUCGGAGCCUGCUUCCGAUUCUGUGUCUCCCUCUCUCUCUGCCCCUCCCCCGUUCAUGCUCUGUCUCUCUCUGCCUCAAAAAUAAAUAAACGUUAAAAAAAUUUUUUAAAAAGUAUAUGUAAUAGUGUACAUAUACAUACAUACACAGUUAGCAUAUACAUGGAAAAAUCUGAGAAGCUUGUAUUCCAAACUGCUAAUAUUGGCAUUUUCAGUGGAACAGGAAAGGAAUUACAGGAGACUUUUUAUUUUCUGCAAUGUAUAUUUCUAUAUUGCCAAAACUUUUAAAUUAUAAUGACAUAUUUUUUCUCUGUUAUACCAGAACAAUUUAAAUGUAUAUAUUCUAUUUAUUAAUAUGUGAAAGGGGCAUGCAUGCUCCCUUUAAAAUUAUUGUCUGUAUAUGGAAUGGACAUAAGUAUUUUGCCUGGACACUUAAUUCCACCUUAUCCACUCAAUCCAAGGCAUGUUGGAAACUCAUUUUAGGCACAGAUGACAGAAAUCUGUCCGCAUUUUGGAAACCACUGGACACAUUUAGCAUUUUCCUGAGGCAGAAACAUGUGAAUGGGAACCACCAGGAAUGACAUCAGCUGACUAUAGCUGGGGUCCCAUAUGGAUGCCCUUGCUCCUAAUACACACUGCCUGUUCCUAGCCACUCUGCCCUGCCACCAGUCCAUGUUACUUCCUGUUCCCACAGCUUUGAUUCUUGUGACUUCCCAGUUCCUACUUCUGAAUGUGUCCCUUUUAAGGAUCUUUGGCCUCUAGGCUCCCACUUCUUGAUCCUGGUUUGACUUUCUUUUUUGUUUUCUGGUCUAAUCUCUUGAUUGCCUCUCCUGUCUCAGGCUUUCAGACACCAUGACCACAUUUCUAGGUCCAUUUGGGCAGCCCUGCCUAGCAUUGGCAGACACCACUCUAGGGAAAUUUCUAGAUAUCUUAGAGGGGAGCUCUGAAGUUAAUAUAGCUAAGUCCCUCCUGAUGAAAACGACAAGUGCAGUAUUUGCAGACAGGCCAGUCAUUUAUGGCCUUAGGUUUUAGAUUCAUCCAAGCUGUUGUGUGUAUCAACAGUCUGUACCAUUUUUUAUUGCUAAUUAGGAUUCCAGGGUGUAGGUGUAUUACUGUUUAACCAUUCACCUGGUGGAGGAUAUCUGGGCUGUUGUUAUUUUUGGACCAUUACUACAAACAUACCUGUACAAGUUUUUGUGUGAACAUGGAUGUUUAUUACCUUGAUAUAAAUGCCCAAGAAUGCAAUUCCUGAGUCAAGACAUAAUUGCAUGUUUAGAUUUGUAAGAAACUCACAAAAUGUUUUCCAGCAUAGCUGCACCAUUUCACUUUCCCAUCCAUAAUGUGUUAGUGGUCUAGUUUCUCGGCAUCUUCUCCAGCCUUUGGUGUUGUCACUAUUUUUUGGUGGGGUGAUAUCAUGUGGCAUUAACAUGCAAUUCUCUGAUGGCUAAUGAUGUGAACAUCUUUUUGUAUGUUUAUUUACUACCUGUAUAUCCUCUUUGGGGAAAUGUCUGUUCAGGUCUUUUGCCCAUAUUUAACCACUUCUUAAAAGUUAACCCUAUAGAGGGAUGCCUAGGUGGCUCAGUUGGUUGAGCAUUGGACUUCAGCUUAGGUCAUGAUCUCAUGGUUUGUGAGUUUCAGCCCUGCAUCAGGCUCGCUGCCAUCAGCAUGGAGCCGACUCCAGAUCCUCCAGCCCUUUCUCUCUGCCCCUCUCCCACUUGUGGUCUCUCUCAAAACUAAACAUUAAAUAAUAAUAGUAAUAAUAAUUGAGUUAACUCCAUAGAAAGUCCAGCAAUAUGAAUCACAAAGCCAUAGGAAGCACCAUUUUACAUUUGUUGGCAGCUUGUGGGAGGUUAAAGAGGGGACCAAGAAGAUAUAUACUAUCCCCUGCUCUCCAGCUUCUUCCUCCAUAAGAAAAUUAAAGUUAUACUGAACUGAUGGGGUCCAGGUUUCAAGAUACCAAUUAGACCACAUUUCCUAGUGGUCAGGGUUGCUGUAUGUGGUGAAGGUCAUGUGUCAUACACCGAUGUGGCUUUCUCUCUGGUAGUGGAAGGAACGAGCUGAGUCAGGGUUGUCUCUCUGGGGCGGGCUUGCCCAUAUUGCUUUCUCUCUCUUCCUCUCUGCAUGUGCCCAUGUAGCCUUGUAGAUCUUCAGCCAGCUGGGGUAGGAGUUAGACUUAAGGCAGAGAAGAAGCCUCACUUAGAGGCAUGGGCUCCAAUCUAAUUUACCAAACAUGGUGCAUUGGGGUGAACACUACAUUCCCAGGUAAUAAUGAAGCUCAGUUAGGAGAAGAACCUGAUUCCAUGCUAAUAGGAUCUUGCUAGGACCACUUCCUUUUUCAUGGAGCUAAUGAUUCUUCAAAGUCAAACUCAACAUGGGGAAGCCCAAGGGCCUUCCCCAGCUCUCACUGCCUGACACAUUCUAAGUACUUUCUUUGUCUUAUUCUGUUUUCCCCACAUUUUAUCUUCUCCCCCUUUGCUACCAUCUUCCUCCAGAUGUGUAACAUUAGCUAUGCCUAAGCUGUUUGUUUGAUCUCUCCUCCUCUCCCUAUCUCGCUCCCUUCUGGGGCUCCUUCUUUCUCAUGAUUUCAGCCACCCCUCCUUUUAGAUGUCAACCAAGAAGACUUCCUUCCUGGACUUGUGGCUUCUUUCAUGUUCUCUGCAGUUGUUUGCUGCUAUUAGUAUGCCUUCAAUGCUUUUUCUGUCCCAGGAGCUCUUUUUCCUGGUUUUCUGUUCCUAAUACUGGCAAAUCCAUAGUUAACUAGACCCAAAAGAGUUCUAUUCAGUCCCCUGUUGCAGUCAAUGCAUUCUUUUUUGCUUUGGUGGGAAGGACUGUUAAGGUUGAAUGUGUACAUAAGGUGGUACAGUGACAGUGGUGUGGUGGGAAGAACACAGGUUUGGGGGGCUGAUAGUCCCCAAAAUCAGGUGUGGUUCUGCCACUUACAGGGCAGGAGGUCAACUGACAUCUCUGUGGCUUAGUUUCCAUAUCUAUGAAAUGGAAGACAGGAAUACCUAGCCAAAUGGGGCAGUAUGCUUGAAAGUGAGUUAUAAAUGGUAAAUAAGUACUAGUAGCUGAUAUAAUAGUUGUGAUAAUGACUGUGUUUAACCCAGUCAUCACCCAGAAUGCCUUAGCUCAAACCCAAGUCUUUUUCAUGUUAAACUUUUCUUCUCCUUGGCCCAGGGAUCCUAUAUGGUUUUACCCCUUGUCUAUAUAACAAAAUGUGGAUGAAUAUUGAGUUCAAAACAAGAGGGCAGGUGGGAGUUUUCCAUUUGGACAAGAACUGCCUUUGGCAUAGUUACAAGCGUUGUCUGCAGCUUUUUUUUUUUUUUUUUAAAGAAUAAAGGCUAAGGAGGGAGUCUAUUGGGUGGGAAGGGAGGAAUGCUGGGGUAUCAGCUGAACUAGUGCUGAACUCAGCAUAUUUUUACACUCAAAUAAUGCAGAAAAGAGGACUGGGUGGUAGGGAAGGAAAUUGGGGAAGAAAUCUCCGUGGUACAAGAGUGAGCUACACUAGCUGUGUAGGUGCUCCAUUGGACAAGGAAUAUUAACUCUCUUUAUUCAGAGUAAACUAGAGGUUGGUUUCUGUGGCAUCCUUUAUGUCUCUCAAGUUGUGCAGCUAAGUAGGUUUCCUUUUUCUUGCUUUCUUUCUCCAAAUCCAUCAGCUUUUGCUUAGUUUUAUCUCAGUGAGCCCCAGGGAGUUGGCAAAGGCAGAAUGUCAAUUCCAGGGGAGAAGGAAAGCAGCAAGGGACCAUCUCUGAAUCACAUCGUUAUGUAGGAAAAGUAAAGCACAGGGUAAGUGGUGACUCCCCUGUGUGACUUAGUGACUUCACAGACAGAACCAAAUCUAAACACACACAAAUUGCUCCUGAAACUAUAGCCUCUGAAAAUGGUUUCUGGCUUUUAGACCUCAUGACUUCUCAUCCUUUUUUUUCCUAAUGUUUACUUAUUUAUUUUGAGAGACAGAGAGAGCAUGCACAAGUGGGAGGUGGGGGGAGAAGGGCAGAGGCAGAGGGAGAGAGAGAAUCCCAAGCAGUCUGCACACCCAUCCAGGAGCCAGACAUGGGGCUCCAUGUCACAACAGUGAGAUCAUGACCUGAGCCAAAAUCCAGAGGUAUACACUUAAUGGACUGAGCCACCCAGGUGCCCCAUGACUUCUCAUCUUUAUUAGUUGGUUCUAACUGUAUGGUGAGAUGGGGAGGUGACAAAUAUUAAGUUUUCUUUCUAGGUCUCAACCUCCAUAAUAUAUUUGUAGAAAGCAUAAGCAAAUAUUCAAACCCACAAAAACCCAGCUUUGAGCAAUUGAUCUUCCUGCUUUCUAUAUUUAAUUUUUAAUAUUUUAACUUUAUUUUUAGAAUAUAUUGCUUCCUUCAUCAGGAAAACCUGAGGUGGCAUGCAAAAAUACAUGGGUCACAGAAAUUUUAAAAAUAUGAAGAAGUCCAGUCAAAGGGAGAAAAUAUAGGUAAGCAAAAUAAGAUAAUUCAAGGGUGAGGUUAGUGUAUAGAAAUACAUACCGUAAACUUGAGCUAAAAAGUGGCCUAGAGCUUGUAACAGUCAGUCAGAAAGGAGAAUAUUAUAUAGUGCUAAAUGAUAAUAACAGUGGAUAACAUUUACUGAGUGCCAGUGUGUAGCGUCAACAAUAAACAAAGCUGGACAGUAUUUGAAGUUGGUCAGGACAGAUUUUAGUCAGUAAUAUAUGCAUGAGGGCAAUAGGGCAAAGUGUCCACAUGAACUGAACUCAACUUUGACUUGCACUUGCAUUUUAAAGGGAAGAUGAGGGGAUAGGGAGGAGGAUUAGUGGGGUCUCAGUAGAGUCAGGGAAGUGAAAAAUUACAAAAAUCAGGAAGGGGGUUGGCCCAUAUGAAACCCAUCUGGGUUUGCUAACUGCAGUGUAUCCAAGUUAGGCUCCUCCCCUUCCACAAAGGCUGGCAGACAGGGCCAUCUUCAGGUGUUGGCUGGAACACACAGUAAAUUCUUUGGGCAGCCUUGAGUUUUCUCAGGCAGGCACUUUUAGAGGUGGGCUAGGGUCAUCCAGGAGAUGUAAACUUGAGCUGUUAGAAACUGUGUUAACAUUUUGUUCCCAUCUUUAUAGACCAAGGUUGAAGCCCAGCAGAUGAGAGGGCUCAGAGGAGCCUGGCUACAAUUUAGUCAAGGAGAGAAUCUUUGUCAGGAGCAGGCAUUGUUCAAUAUUUUUUACAUGUAUUAUCCCGUUUAUUGUUCACAAAAUCCCUGUGAGAUGGGUUGUUAUUGUCCCCACUCUACAGAUGAGAAAACUGAGGUGCAGAGAGAUAUUAAUAAGUUUAUAUGGACAGUGAAAGCCAAGAAUUAAAUCCAGGCAUUCUGAUAGCACAGCUGAGAUCCAAUAUUUUAAUAAUUAAUUAUUGACAUUACAAGGAUAGGGCUGCCUCUGUGGAUUUGGGGUCUCACCUAAAAGGUGAUAUUAUCCCCUGCAUCAGUCACCAGAGAGAAGAAUUGUGUCUCUCAAAGGAAACAGAAAAGGGGCAGAGAAACUCCAGGAACACUUCCCAGGGCGAUUCAGCUCUCUUGGCCUUAUUCAAAAAGUUGGCAAGCUUUUGAUAAGGGACCUUGUAGGCGGUGGCUUGUAAAAAGACGUCCUCUGCACGGAACCAGGCCAGGAACUUAGAAAUGAGAGAUUCUAGUAUGGUCUCUGGAGGCCAUGCCAAUCUACUAGGACCAGAGCUGAAAUAGCUCAGAUCACCUGUAGAAUUCAGUGGUGAGAGACACAGGGGCUCAGCUAUUUGUGUUUUACUGCCCGAUAGUUAUUUGUUUCCCUUUUAUUCCUACCUGAUAUUCAGUAAGGACAUUUGGAAAGCAAAUCUGGGAAUAUCCCUCACCAAGCAGGAGAAUCAAGUGGAAGAAAACACCACUUGGGAGUCUAGGCUCUGAGCAGAGCUGAUUUUCCAGAGGCAAAUAUAUGUUUUCUUGAAGUCAUCCAACAUCAUUUUAUGAUUCUGUGCUCUUGGUUCACAGUCUAUAAGGGAAUAGCUACUCCCAAAAAACAGAAAAUGAAAUUUUUCCUCCAUGUUUUCUUUCCUUCUCUCUGUUAAUGUUUAUAUGUUAUUGCUAGGCAGAGGGCAAGACACAGCAGAUUUUCCCUAUUCCUAGUGCAGCUUUUAACAUUCCUCCCCAAAUGCCCAAGGCCCUUCCUCUUCAGAAGGGUACAGGUGGGGAGAGUUUCAUAACAAGAUGAGAGUGUAAUUCAAAUAGAGCUGGGGGGUUUCAAUGUACAUAUUGAAAUGUAAAUAUUGUUAACUAUUACUUUGUGUUCUAUAUUUUUCCUAAGUGUUGUGUCAUGUGUCCUUAAAAGGAGCCUCCUAGGGGAUCCUGGGUGUCUCAAUCUGUUAAGUCUCUUGAUUUCAGCUCAGGUCAUGAUCUCACAGUUCAUGAGUUCAAGCUCCACAUCAGGCUCUGCUCUAACAAUGUGGAGCCUGCUUGGGAUUUUUUCUCUCCCCCUCUCUCUACCCCUUCCCUGGUCAAGCUUGCAUUCUCUCUCAAAAUAAAUAAAUAAACUUUAAAAAAAAAAAAAAAAAGGAGGAGCCUCCUUAACUUUUGCCUCUGUUUGUGCAGAAGACCAGACCAGCUCCCAUUGGCCGGAAGCCGCACAGGCUGCAGUCUGGUCUGAAAAUUGAACGCUGAGUUAGAUUAGUGCUCCCUUUCCGGCAUCUGAGGAGGGGUGCAUGUAGGGGACCUGAGAAGCAGCUUUGAAGGAUGAGGCUGUCCCAGGUAGCCUGGUGAUGUUUACUGAAGAUUCCAGGGACCUCCUUCCUUUGCAUACAUUUCUCCUGUGCCCACUGCAAGCCUCACAUUUCUGCCAUCCCUGUGUAUAUGGGUGGGAGACGGGAAGGGGGGUUCUUUUCCUGAAGGUGCUAUGGCAGCAUAUGUGGUUCCUAGGCUUAAUAUAUAUUAAGUGAGGGGCUGGUUUGUGGGUCUCCUCAUUAGGAGAGGACCAUGAGUUUAUUUGAAUGAAUAUGCCCCCAAACCUACCCUGCACCCAACAAAAAACCUCUCCUAAGGAUGGAGAAUAUCUCAAGGCAAGGAAAUAACUGGAAUUCUACUCUCAGAGGUCUUUUGCCAAAGAGUUUUCAGAUGAGGACUUCUUUUCUACUCUGCCCAAGUCUGGCAGAGGGAGGAUGAGGAAUUUCACUCCCAGUCCCAGGGAUGAUCUCUUCCUUCUUGUGACACUGAAAUUGUGGAAAGGGAUCAUAAGUCAAAUCAACGGGCUAAAAUCUGGGAGCAGAGGAAAUCAGGUAAGGUCUGAGAGAGAGUAAGCAAAAGAAGGGGCCAGAAGGAAGAAAACUAAGUUAAAAGAUGAAGGGCAGUGCAGGGCACAGAGGAAGGAUGGCUCAACGUCUGCCUCUCUUGGCUUUAGUGCAUCCAGACAGGUCUCUGUAGCCCUUGACUGGAUGCCUGGGUCCAAGGGCUGAUGGGUGGUGCUUUGGGACCUCCUGGAAUUGGGGUAUCAUGAACAUGGGUGUGUAUGUGUCUGUGUAUGACCAGCAAAUGUGAACUUGACAGCAGUUAGCUAUGGGGAUUGUUUACAAUAGCCUAUCACCCAGCUCCAACUACCAGGGACCAAGGUAACCCAGACUUCUCUUUACAAGUUAAGGAGAAAAGAGGGUCCAGAAUCACAAAUCCCCAAAUGCAAAUAUACAUUGGCACAGGGGAAGAAUCUGAAAUUUUGGACUACUUUUCCCAAAGAGCAAUUUCCCCAUAUAUCUGAAAAGGGUCUUCUAUGUUGCCUGUGAUGAAAUGGUUUGCCAAAGCAGAUCAACUCAAUUUAGAAAGGAUUUUAGUUUAAGAUAAUAAGUGCCUCCCACAUCCUUUCCUUAGAACCCAAGCUGUCUUUAAACAGCUAAAUCCCCUGCAAGCUAAAGAUUACCAUAAGUUUAAUGGGAGUUUUGGAAAAGAGAUUUGGAAAGAAGUGGAUGGGAGGGGAAUUUCUAUGUCUUUCCUGGUAGCUGAGCCUUUGUAGGGCUGAAGAGCUGCUUAUUUUAUGUAAUUGACAACUGAUCAUUUCUAAAGUAUUGGUUUAGGACUUAAAAUAAUCCAUUAAUGAAUCUCCUGUAUGGAACAUACAAAUGUUCCCAGAAGAAUAGGCUGAAGAUGGUGUGGGGGUGAUGAAGGAAUCAAAGGGAGGUCCCUUGGCUCACUAGCCAGAGUUGUCUUCUGAUGUGUUCUUGCUGGCUGAGAUAAGUUUGCACUCAAGGAGCCUGGGCCAGAGAGGGAGGUGCCCAAGAAGGGCAGUUGUAGAAAGUUGUAGGCUUAAAAGUUGGGAGAAGGAAAAGGGAGGGAAUGGGGAUGCAGAAGAUCAAAUGACUGAUUGUUGAGAACACCCAUCUUUCCUCCCAGAGUCCUAGACAUACCCAAGACAGGCCUCUCAGAGUCCUAGACAUAAAAUCUGUCUCUCAGUCUCUUUCUCUCCUCAGAGGAGUCUCAUGUGGAGCCAAACUUUUACUAGGAAGAAAGGGCUGAUAGAUUCCUUUCAAGUAGCAUUUCUCUCUCUCCUCCCAGAUGACAUCUUUUAAAUAAAAAUGGAACAUGUUCAAACAUAUAGAGAAGACUAGAGAUUAAUGUCAUGAGGCUCAUGAAAUUACCACCCCCUUUGCCAAAUAUGCUUGGAAAAAGUUUUUAAUAAAGCCCUUUGGAUGUUUGGAUGCAAUUGCAUUUGACACCUCCUCCCUCUUUCUCUGGUUGCCUACUUCUGGAAACCUGCUUCCACUUGUCACCACCCCUGCCCACCUUCUCACCUAUCUUCCAGUAAAGAGCCAGGAAUGAGUACAGUUGUGUUCAAUUUUGUGUUUAUACUACUAUAGCCAUAAGGAAUUAUACUAAGGAAGCAAUAGAAACCAUUUGGUUGGUUGUCAGUGGGCUUUUUGAAGGCAACUUUCCCCAGGGAUUCAUUUGCAGCAUUUCUAGCAUAAGGUUCUAGGGGGUGGGGGUGGGGGUUGUAUCCAGAAAAUAUAACACAGAAGUCUUCUGUUUCUUCCUACCCUUCACCCUCCAGCACUUUUAACACUGAAUUUUCUCCCUAGCUUCUUCUCAUUUUAUCUGCUUUGGGUUUUCCCAUAUCUGGCCCCUAUGCCAACCUUUGAUUGCCAGCCUGCAUUCAGGCUCCAUGGGUAAGUAGAGGCGUCUCUGUGGUGCUCCCUAUGUGCAGAGGUGUGUCAGUAUAUCAGCAGGCAGUUGAUGCCUGGAGAGCCUGCCCACUUACCUCCUUGUUUCCCUUGUAAAAUCUCUGCCACUCCCAGGGGUCUCCAGCUGCUGCCAAGAAGCCUUUGGUUGACUCAGAGGCAACGCUCUGCUCACACUGAUGCCAAUAAAUCCCUAGAAUUUUUCACUCCGUGAUUAUUUGUCCCUCCCUGACCAUGAAUAAAUGAAAAGCCACACACACACACAUGUUAUUAAAAUGAACUGUUUAUAUUAUCUCAGUUGAGUCAAUACAUUAUAAUGUAUUAAAAUGGAAAGGUACAAAAUUGAAAUAAAUACUUUCUGAUUCAUGUAUAAAUCUUUUUUUUUUUUUUUUGUCAAGAUGACUUUUAUCGUCAGUACAUGUCACAAGAAAACAUUUAAAAUGACACUGAAACAAUCAUUUAAAUCAUGGUGCAUGGAGGAAAAAGGUAAAGAAAACAACUUUUGGCUUGUUUUGGCAUGAGACCUUGAUACAAUUUGGGUUCCCCAAAACCAUGUGAAGGGUGGUAAAAUAGAAAUGCUCAAAACUGACUUAAAAAAAUAAACAGGCUUUACAAAAAACCCUCUUUUUGAUAAACCCAGCCACUUCUCUACAUGGUCUGCACUUACAGUAGAUACAUUCAUUAUUGUCCAUGGGAAGACAGCAACUGCCUUUCGUUUUAAAGAGCUUGGUGGAGAGGCUGAAGAAAUACGCUGCAGCUGAAGGUGAGUAGAAUGUUCAGGAGAACAAAAAGUCUAGAUGGUCUUCAGGAACGGCACUGAGAAUGAUGGGGUGUGGAGGGUCUCUGGAACAAGAGAUGGAGGAGAGGGAGCGUGAGGAGUCCAGAUCUGAAGCAAAGCAAGUCUGAAGGACAGAAAUGGUUGUCAGCAGUGAAAAUGUGAUGUGGGGAUCUCUCCCCGUCUGAGCAGUCCUGGGUUUGUCCUUGGCAUGGGUUUGUCUCUGCCUCAGCAGAGGCUAACCCAGUGCUUUGGAGAUAGGGUUGGGACUCAUUUCAGGCACAGCAGCACUGGGGAUACAGGGACAGGUGUAGGGGUUAACAAUGAAUGCCAACAAAGGGGCUUUCUCUUCUGGUUCUGACUGCUUAUUAGGUGGUUGUUAAGGCAAUAAGGACUUUAGCAAACUAGAAGUUAAGGGCAGCUAAAUUCAGCCAGAUUGAAGGUAAACAAAAGGUGAGAAGGAGUCCCUUUCUCCUCAGCUACCUUUCCCCCCAAGCACAGGAGGCCUCGGCUCCUGAAGCGCUGAAUUUACAGUACGCAGUAGCAGAGGGCGUGCCCUUUGGAAGGCUCCAAGGAAAAGAAGGCUUAUCCCUGACUUGGGGCAUUUUAUUCUUCAGACUCUCUUUGUUGAAGUUCUUUCAGGAGGGCAGGCUAUGCUCACCCAGCUAUUGAGUGAAAAGUGGAAGCACCAAAGUUUGUGCAGUUAGAAUAAGUCCUUUGCUAUAGACCAUCUGGUCCAUUUCAAUGGCCUUGAACACCAUCUAUCCUAGAAAGGCAGGCCUGAUGCUCACAUGCUUCAGUGAGACCUAUGCUCACCUGGAGAACAGGACUAGCCUUUCAAGCUUCAGGAAUAUUUCCCUUGCAUCAGAUUGAAUGACAGCUACAAAGUCCAUGGAAGUGUGAGAUCCUUGGAAGGUUUGUGAGCCCAUAGGUGGAUUCUUAGGGGAGUAAUAGAAACUCCUUUGACUUGAAUCUGCUCACAGAGAAAUGUACAGAAGACGGAACAGAACAGAUGGAAGAAUCUUUUCUUUUCUUCUUGUUCUGGAGUAAAGGAGAUGGACCUUGAAAUGCUAUGGGAAGGAUAAACCUUGAGAGUUGCCUGCCAUUCUGAGCAGCUUCUGGCAAGAUGCUGGGUGAUCCGACCACUGAGACCCUGGAAUGGAAGAACUGGCUCUCAGGCAAUUGCUAAAAGGUAUAACUACUUACUCCAGCAAAUGAACCACAUGUGCUCUCUGUGAACAAGACAGAGAUCCCUCAUCCUGUAAAAUUAGAUUGCAGUCUGAUACAAGAGCUCUGCAUGAAAUGCCUGGGGUCUAAGGAUGCAAUGUCCUGGACACAAUGGUUGUGCUCUAAUUACUCAGGACCACCUCUAAUGGGGGCAUUUGUGGGGACAAGAUGUUCAGAAAGAGAAAUGCCAGUUGCAGUGUCCAGCCAUCUGGGGACCAGUGCUCUGCCUGACCUCUCUCUCUGGUAGAGCUGUCUUGUUUUGGUCCUGGAAUCCAAGGAUUAUGACAAAUCUGUAAUAAAGCAAAUGUGAUCAUUAAGCUGUGGGUGUACAGAUGAAACAAGAUUGGCCAUGAGUUGAUCAUUACUGAUGUCGAUUGGUAGGUCUGCAGGACUUGGCUGUGCAAUUUGACUUUAUUAUGUGUUCAAAUAUAUGGGUUGAAAUUAUCCACAAUACAAAACAAGGCCCCUUGGAGAUUAUCUAGCUUACUCCUUCAUUUUACAGACAGAACCCAGUGGUUUAGUGCCCAAAGUCACAUGAGGAGUUCAUGCAGAGCCAGUACUAGAACCCAGCACUCUUUCUGCAGGGAUUAGGAUAUUUUGGUUAGCAUUGCACUCUUAAAUAAAUGUCAUAUUCUUGAUCUCUGCUCUCACCUUGAAAAGCAGGUGGUUGUUUUCAAAAUUCCUGUCAAUUAGCUUAAGAAUUACCCUUCUCUCAUAAAGCCCCAGGGGGACACUUUCUUUGAAGUCUCUCUUCAGCUCCAUCACUUCAAAGGGAGACGCCCCCAGUGACAAACCAGUCACUGUAGCCACUUCUUCUUAGGGGAACCACCACCAAGAAGGAAACUGAAUGUUGUUUCUGGGCCCCUGGCAGCAUUCAGUUUUUUCUAGAACCUGAUUGAAGGCCUGGUGGAAGGAGGGGAGCAUCACAUUUAUGACAAGGGUAGGGUGUAAAGGGCAAGAAUAGCAGCCAUUUAAGGGAAUAAAUUUCUAUAAAAAUCUUCAACUAAAGGUAUUGAAUCUCUUUAGAGAAAUAUCACUAUAAUCUAAUUGGAAUCAAAGACAUUUCUCAAUUGAAUAAGAACAAGACUUUUAAGAACUAGCUGCUUCGGGAAAGGGAGGACCCACUGGGCCCUUCUCAGUGAUGACACUUAUAGGGAAUGAGGGUUCAGUAUAAAACUAUAAAUUUUAUUUUGAUAAUUAAAAUAUAAAAAUUCUAGAUAUAUUUUUAUAAGCUUAUGAGGACAAACCUCAAAGAGUCCUCCCAAAGGAAAACAGACCAGAGAAGCCAGGUGCUUCUAAGAUUCUGUAGGGGAAAGGUGAGGUCAGAAAGCCUCUGAAAGAAUGACACACAAGGAAGUCCCUGGGCCCACCAUUUUGCACGAGGAAAACACCCUUUGGGUCCUGGUAGCUUGGUUGAGAUUCAAGUUGUUAGCAGAGAUGGGCACCUGACUAGCUUAGUUGGUGGAGCAUGCAACACUUGAUCAUGGGGGCCUGAGUUCAAGCCUCAUGUUGGGUGUAGAGUCUACUUAAAAAAAUAAAAAUAAAAUAAAAAGUUAGCAGAUAGAGGUGUACAUAUUUAAAAAAAAAACAAAUUAUGAAGACUUGCUUGGAUUAAAAAGUUGUGGGCUUCCUGAAACAGAUAGCCAAAAGCAACUGGAAAGUUUUUUCUGGAGACAUCAGAUGCCCUGGGAAUGGAAGAGAUCCAAAAAGAAUGGCUAAAUGAAGAGAUGGGGUGGCAGGGUGGAUGGACAGACCACUCUAAUUAUUUAGAAAAAUCUGUUCUAGCAAGAGACUUAGGGCAGUUUAUAGAUUAUAGAGUUAGAUUCUGCUGUUUCUUAUUCUCAUUGUUCUUCCUUGCCCCUCAAAAAUAUAGGUAUCAGCUCAUUUCUUUUUCAAAAUCCUAACUAUCUUAACUUGGCUUACAGAAAGGUAGACUUGGAGAGGGAGUGUGUACAUGUGUAUGUUCACAUUGCCUGCAGUCAUGAAAAAAUAAACUCUUCUGUCUUCCAGAGACUUAUAUAAAGCAUGACAGCAUGGGGCUUUUCUGAACUUUACAAAUUAAAAGAGGGACUCUGAGCUACUGGUUAUAAGUCAGGAGAGGAUGAAAGAGCAUUUUGAUGUGGAAUCUGAUUCUGAGUCUGCAAAUUUCUAGCUGCAUUUCUUUGGGAAAAUUAUUUCAUCUCUGGUCUUCAGACUCCUCAUCUGUACAGGGAGGAGAUUUGACCUCUCUGACAUUUAUAAUCUGUGGAUCUAGAGAACUGAUUAUUGGCCUAGAAUAGAUAUGAGGUAGGGGCUGAAUUCUAGGAUCAAGAAGGUCUCUAUUAGCAUUGUAUCAAAGAGAACAAAUCUUGUUCCUAGGUUUGGUGAGUAAAUUUUCUAACAGGUUCCUUGGGACUCCUGGCUAAUGUCACUGUGUGUGUGGGGGGGGGGGGGGGGGGGGGGGGGGGGGGGGNNNNNNNNNNNNNNNNNNNNGGGGGGUAGGGUGGGGGGGUAGGUAAUUGAGAAAGAGAAGCUCAUCCCCCUGCACAAGGUCAGCAUGUUCAUGCUGCUCCAUCUAGUAAAUUCUGGCCUUGGAAGAGCCAGGGAGGAAAAGAGCAGUACCAUCCACAUCUCCAUGGAAUCCUGCCCCUUUGCAAUCAACCUUGACUCUGAAGAAAAGUAGCAAGUGCUAUUCAAGCCUAAUGAAAAUUUCAAUAUAUUUUGAAGUUGUCCACUACCAUGGUCAGUAAUGAGAUCAAUACUCAUGGUCACAGACAUUGCAGAAGGUUAAGUGCCUAUGACAAAAUGCUUAUGAAGUGUUUGAGGCUCUGAGGCCUUCCCUCUGAAGAGUGAGAAAGGCAGUACUUGUCUCUACCUGGUUGGCUAUCAGGAUUGACAUUUCACUGCAGAGCCAAGAAACCCGAAGACCUCAAAGUACUGGCUAAGUCUCCAGACUUGAGGAGGAAGGGAAGGCCCACUUGGAGACAGGUUGCAUUUGUCUGCCAAAAGACCAGUGUCUGCAAAACCACAAAUACUGGAAAUACAGGUGCUUCUAAUACAACUAUGUAUGCUGGUUCCGAGUAAUGGGCGUGGGUUGUCUAUCAAAGUAUUUGGUAGGAAAACAGAGGAUGGCAAACUCCUUGUGUGCCCUGGAUAAAACAAGCACACAGAUUCUGAUUGGAUUAGAGAAAAGGUAAGACUCUAGGAAACAGAAGCUCAAUUUCAUUUGCCACAGAUACUUCCUACGAAUCCCAUCUCCUUCCAAGAUGUGCAGGAAGGAGCCACCUAGCCGAAGAGAAGACUUUGGAUGCCAAGGUAACCUCAACCCAGAAUAGCUCAUGACUUUAAAGAUCUGUCUUUCCCCCUAAGCAGGCCCAGAUGUCCUGAGGAGGAGAGGGGAUGUUGCAAGCAGGGUCUCCAAAUACACAGCAAUUAAAUCUCUUGGACUGUUAAAGACCUACUCUUGCUCUAAAUGGAUUGAAGACUCAAGAAAGUGUAGCUGCCUCUCCUCCCUGAAAACUCUGCACUUCCUCAUCUUACAUAUGGUGAAACUGAGGCACAAGGAAGGACAGAGGGUUCUUGCAUCUCUCAUAUUGAUCUAGUGACAUACCUGGGAGGAAAUCCCAGGACCUCCAUCUCUGAAUCCUUCAACAUCUUCCACUGUCUUUCUACUUAAUUCACAGUUAAAGUCUGUCUGCCUAUCUAUAAUAUAUUAUAUGUACUAUUAUGUAUAAAAUAUAAAUAAUUCUCAGAUUCCUACUUAACUUCCUAUCCUCCUCUCCUCCUUUAUAUAACUAGGUUUGGGGGAGGGAGGGGUAACAAAGAUCCAUGAUGAGGGAAAACCACAGUACUGCUCAAAGAAAUAGACUUCUGGAAGGAGAGAUGACAGGCUUUGUCUAGGGGCCAAGGGGUGCUUCAGAUCUGGACUGUACAGCAAAUUAAAUGGAACACAACUCAACGGAAAUCAGCAAUGUAGACAUCUGUGCCAGACGAAGUGAACUUCCACAACCUGGUUUUAAGGAACAGUAAAUACAAUAGAGAUAGAUAGAUAUAAUAUGUUGAAUCUUGAGUAAUAAAACAAGUUAUAAAUAGAAUUAUGCUAAAUUAAAGACGGACAUCAUAGGGAAUAGUCUGGUCAACAACCAAUCACCAUUAGAAUUAAAAAGUAAACCGGCCUUUUCACUGAGUACCUCCACAACGUUUCUCAAUGCACUAAGUACAUUUUAACCAUGCAAAAAUACACAAACAUCUUAACUAGGUUGUUUUUUUUUUUUUGUAAAAAAAAUCAAACACCAACAUUAUGCAUUUUUGUUAAUUAUAUUGGUUAAAGUUACAGCCAGUGGCUGCCAAAUAUCAGAUACAUCAUAUACAUAUUUUUAUACAGAAUCUGGACAACACAACAUUACACAUCAGAGAGAGAAAGAGAGAAAAAGAGAAAGAGAUUAUUUGUUCCUUUGUGGGUUUGUUGUUGUUGUUCAGUAAAGAAAUAAAGUAAAAUAUGAGAAGCAAUGCUAAGAAGGAAAACACUUCAACAAGUCAGGAAUACAGAGGGAGAAUUGCUAAUCAGAAAUACAGGAGGAAAAGAGUUCAUAGUUAGGUCUGUGUCUAGAAUUUUCUUCACUAAGAAACAAAAGAGCACAACAGGUGUAUUGGUUUGGAAAAGCAGAAAGAGCGAUAACAUCAUGCUGUCUGGUUCCCAGCACGUUUCCAGCAAGAAGAAAAAAUCAUAAUCACAAAUUAAUUUCACAAGUUUUGUUUUCAAAAAUGUCCUCCCUUACCCAGGAAGCUGGGUAGUGCAGGGGUGGGGGCAGCUCAAUUUUGAGAGUCCUUGGCAAGGGUUUGGCCAAAACCGUUGGCCUGAAAUAAGUUGGAGAUAUGAGCUGUCUGUGGAAAUUCACGCAAUGAGAUGCGACGUCAACUUGCUCCAGUCUAGGCAAGGUUCCCGUUGCCAGCCAGUGAUCUGGCGGAGGAAGGACACACCCCCAUGACAGGUUCUCCUAGCAAGGCCCCAGUCCUGCCCCUUAAACAUUUGGUGUCAACACGAUCCUAAGAAUUCAACCUGGAAAGAAACAAGACCUUGAACACAAGCUAUGGAAGCACUACCGUGGUCACGGUUAGAUACAAAAAUGUGAAAAUUCAGAUGUAAUCAAAAAUACAAAAUCAGUUUCAAUAAGAUUUGCUUUUUUUUAACCAUUACAGUGCAAGGUUUUUCAAAUUACAGUAAAAGUUAUGUGUCUGCUUACAGUAACUAGAGUAAGUAGCUGAUUUUUGUUCUGCUAGAAUCAGAGGUCCCUGAUAAGUGGGAAUGCACCAAUCUGAAAUCAACCCGGCACAAGAAAUGGAUAUCUUAACAAAAACACAGUUCACUACGGUCUUUACCCCUUCAAAUAGUAACAAAGGAAUGGUGUCAUUUGCACAACUCAUUAGCAUGAGGUUCUUCCUCCAUUAAAAAUAAAAAUAAAAAUAAUAAACAGAUGAUAUUAAAAUUCCAACAGAAAAAGGACUGGAAAUCUGGGGCUGAAGGAUGGAGCAUCUGAAGGGAGUUUCCCACGUCACUGAGCUUUCCCACUGUAGUUAAAAAUAAAAAGAAUUGUUUUAGCAUGAGCCUCAGUGGGCAAUGCUGCUUUGUGCUUCUGCCUCCUUGUCCCAGGCAGUUGGGAAAGGGAGUUUCACCACCUCAUGGGAUCAAAGGAAACCACAAUACAGUCACGCCUCAUUGUGCCAUCAAGAAUCACCCCCCAGGAAAGAAAAAUAACCAGUUACAGGGGCUGGGGGGCUCAGAGGCUUGGAAGGGGACAGAGGAACCUUCAUCUGGCAAGAGAGUAUCCCUCAUCAAGACCAUUGUGACACUCAGAGCCUUGUGUUCUGGAAAGGAAGAAGAGGAAAGAGUCAAGAGCCCCCAAAUUACAUGGAAAAAAAAGAGCCACCAUUUUCCCAGAGCCUUGUCUUUGGGAGUGGGCAUAUGACUGAAAGAGAAAAUGUGGCUAAAUGAAGUGAUCAGGUGGCAGUCUUCAUGUUCAUGUCAUGGAACAUGAGAAGAAGCAAGGGUGACUGAGGAAUUGUCCUCUUUUGAGGUUUGUAGAGCCAACCAGUCCAGGAUGGGUUAGGAGAGGCAAGACACACUGGAAAACUUCAAGGAGCACUUCUCUCCAUGUCCAAGAGAAAGAGGCAGAUGUUUGGCAACCUUGGGCACAACCAUAGGUCCAGAAGCCUAUUCUUCAUACAGCCCCUCUUUAGCCUCAUCCUGGUGCAGAUACCCAUGAGAACUACUCUUUGAUCUAUUUGACUGGCCCCUUACUUGGUCCCUCUGAGGUCCUACAAAUGGUAUAUGGCAAACUCUUUCUGGGUUUGUUGAAAUUAAAAGGGGACUAUUUUAGGCAGCCAGUGGCUUAUUAUUUAGGGCCUGGAAUCUGCCAGUCCUAUGUAAGAUGUGCAAACACCCUCUCAUCUGUGGGAUGUGAUCAUGUGCUUGGAUCCACCUGCCUCACACUAGUGACCUGAACAGAAGAGCAAACGCUUUACUCACACCCACAGCCUGAGAAAGGGAAGAAACACAAAUUCCUCUACCAUGUUUGAAAGUUUCCCUGCCUUUGAGAUACAAUGUGAGGUGCUGUGUGCCUAGAAAGCACUCAAUAAUUUGUUUCACAAUCUGGCCAUUGGAGGACAUUCAGGCUUCCUCUACAAAUUUCGCUACAUUUCUCAAGGAGGAAAGAAAAUUCUGGCAGACAUUACUUCCACACAGUUCUGGUUCAUGCUUUCAUGGGUGGAGGUGUACAGCCAUGGAAUGUGGCUUCCUACAGCACGUGUCCCAUGGUUUGUUCUGCCCCAGGGUGUUGUGGAAUCAGGCAGAAUAUGGAUGUGUGUGUCUGUUGUUUUUGCAUGAGGUACUUACAUUUUCUCAUCCCUUUAGCCAUAUGAGAUCCUGCACCUUACCAGGCUUCCCAAUCCCAUUACCUACCUAGCUUUCCCAGAGUUCAGUACCCAUUCUGCACCUAUCAGAGCAAAGUAGUUUCCCUGGAAACAUUCUUGUGCUCCCCACCCAGCUCUGACUCAGAAUACAGCCCAAGGCCUGGUUCUCUGGGGUAUAGAGGUGGUAGGCCCCAAACAAACCCUCAAACAAACCCUAUGCUCUUUGCCCUGGGUGCCACUAAGUGGUUGUUUCCCUCCAAGUCAACCGAGGUCUACGGGCUUCGCUGACUAUGAGUCUCCCCUCAAAUGGAGGAUUUUUUUAAAUGUGCAAGCUGGUUUGCCUGAAUGGCCCUACAAACACCUAUGUUCUUCUUGAAAUAAAUCCCCAAACCUCUGCCUAGAUAGAUCUGCUUUCUCUAGAUGGUGUGUUUCUGAUCUGGCAGUUGGUGGUUGAAAUAGCAUUUGAGGAUAUGUGAUCACAGAUGUAUUCACAUGAGUGAAGCAACAGAAUGAAGUUAGGGAAUGACGUGGUACAUAGUGUGCCUUAAAGGCUUAAGCAACAUGCCAAGAUUCCUCUAUGCUAAGUUCCUGUUGCUGUCCCCAGACAAAUGUGAAGCCCAGUGAAAAUGCCCCGUAACUGGGCUGUGAUGCCCCCACUUUUGGUAUCUGGGACUAUUUAGUACUAUUUACUAUUAAUUAUGGAGCUGCCUCUGGCUGAAAGAAAUCUCCAGGAAUGGUGUUUUGGAGAGCAGGCACAUUUAGUCCAGGGACAUUGGUGGGAAGUGCAAUGUUGUUCUCCUACUUCCCAGGAGGAUGGGGAUUGGACAUCACUGACUAGGGCAUCAGAUUCCCAGGUCAUAUCCUCACUUCUUUAUGAUCUUGGACAGCUUAACCUCUCAGAACCUUAGUUUCCUCUUUUGCGUGUUGGAUGUGAUGCUACUUUACUCAGGGUUGUUGAGAAGAUCACAUGAGACACUGUGUGAAAGCACUCUGCAGACAUAUGCAGAUGUGGGUGUAUAGCCUCAUCCACCUCUAUGAGAGAAUCAUACCUUCCACAUGAAACGAAUGAGAUAGUUUUCUGUGUCUAAAGCAUGUUCUUAGUAAGGUGGUAGUCUGCUGUAAGUGGAGCUCCAAAAGGCAGUUGGGCUUGGGGGAGUUCUUUGCUUGCUUUGGUUUUGAUUGGUCAAUAGUCUCUGUGCAUCCAAUAUGGCUGAUUCUCAUCUCAUGACGAGUGGAUGCUCUUGUCUUUACCCCACUCCACUUAAAUCACUUGACACAAAUAAUAAAGAAGGGCUAGAAGAAAGAAAGUUCUUUUUACCUUUAAGAUAUAUAUUUUGAGAAUACUUAUUAAGAUGGUGAGAAGUUGGCUUCAUCUUUUCUUUCAAAGAGAAAAGUAUAGUUGAUUUAGGAGAUGCUUACCUUUGAUUUAAGGAUGAUCUCCUUGGAUUCUUAUAUUCAUAACAAUUAGGUUGGGUUAAAAAUGGAGGAGCUAAAUUUUUUCUCUGGGUUUCUUAGAAGUUCAUAGUCUGGAGACAGAUAUUUGUCUCGUGUUGAAUGAGUGUGUGCAUUUAUAAUAGGAUUUUAGGGUCAGAAGGGAGCUUAGGAAGUGUCAUCUUCAUGUUGCAGAAGAGGGAGCUGGUGCAAUGGAAUAAUGGUGAAUCUGGUGCUCCUGCUGCUGCAGUGGAUUGCAAGAAGGUGUGACCAGCUUGGAGGGGAGGCGGGGCUGGAGGACAGCUCUCUGUGGCCCUGUGAUGGAUGUAACAGCACAGCUUCCUAAACAAUCCAUCUUUCUCUUACAGGACUCCUUCCAACCUAGUCUCACCCAGGCACCCCUAGAGAAAAACACUGGGUGAAUGACUGGUAAACUUCUUGUGGUCCGGUUUGGUGAACUGAACUAGGAGACUAAGGAAUUACUAUUUCUUAAAGGUUAAAAAAAUAACCCUAUUUCUCAUCACUGUUAAACAAUGAAGACUUUUUAAAAAAAAUCACUACCAAUGAAUAUAACUUGUAGCUUUAAAAUGGACCUACUUUAAGAUUAUAUAUGUAAUUUAAGGUAAGGUAAUAUAUAUAUUAUAUAUGUAUUAUGUACUGUAUAUUUAAUAUUUUGGAAAUGGGCACAUGGUGAAUGAUGAAUGUGAUAGAUGUGAUAUGUCUUGACUUCAGAAACUCUUUUGACAAUGCACCUCAAGACAUAUCAGAAUUCACCAUGAGAAUAGAGCAGUGCCAAAGAAUCGUUCUUAACAGAAAUUAAGGAUAAUUCACUGUUGGCCUAAUUGGGCAUUAUGGGAGUGUUUUGGGGGGAUGACCCAGGGCUUCUUGUUUCACAAGGAAAACUUUACAGGUUAGUUGACUGAUACAAGAUCUGUGUCAUGCUAUUUGGCCCCAUUUCUCUCUUGGCUGUCCUUAAGAAAAUGUCCUUCUCUCGAGUUCUUUGUAAUCCAUGUACAUGUUUAUAGAAUAUUUCUUAACAUAAACUCUGUAAGUCCAUGAACUUAGGAUGGAGGCAUAUGCUCUGUGGAUAUAAAGAAAUGAUGGCUAAGAGCAAUAGUUAGAAUGGUGUAGGGGUGUUGAGUUUCAGGUCUUUCAUAAGUCCUGACCAUAGGGUCUACUAUGGAUGGAAUGGUUGUGUUCCCCUAAAUCCAUAUAUUAAAGCCCUAAUUCUCAAUGCAGUGGAAUUUGGAGGUGUGGCCCUAGAGAGAACACUGGGUUUAGAUGAGGUCAUGAGGGUAAAGCCCCCAUGAUGGGAUUAGUGCCCUUGUAAGACAGAAGCCACCAGAGCUCUCUCUGCCAUGUGAGGAUAAACCAUAAAGCAGCCAUCUGAAAACCAUAAAGAGACCCCUCACCAGACACCAGAUCUGCUAGCACCUUGAUCUGGGCCUUUAUAGCCCCUAGAACCAUGAGGAGUAAAUGUUUGUUGUGUAAGCCAACCAGUCCAUGUUGUUUUGUUACAGCAGUGGCACUACGGCAGAGUGCAUUCCUAACUUCCCUGAUAUACAUCACUUUUAAGUCUCCAUCCAGAUCAAGGCUAACAUAAUUAUGGGUGAAGCACCCUCUUUCUUUCUAGAGCAAUCUAUCUCAAGGAAAGGGGAAUCAUCUCAAUACUCUCCUCUCUUUGUCUCUUCUUUCUUGUCAAGCCACUUUUCCUAAGACAGGAUUGAUUUUGAAAAGGGAUCUUGGUGAUCUUACAUGAGGAAUCUAAAAAAAAAAAAAAAAAUUGCUAUUAAGGGAUCUAAUAUAUUGAUACACACUUAUUUUUAGGGAGAAGAGAGGAAGAAGAGGGAAUACUUUGUAUUCAGGUCCCAAACCCAGGUUGUGCUGUCCAUGAGGAAUGCUUAGCAGUCCUUCAGAAAGAUAAAUGAAAGCAGAGACCUCUCAGUGCCCCAUGUCUUCACCUCUUCCUUUCUGCUCAAAGAGCUGUAGACCUGCUCAUCAUUUUCAGUCUUACCUUUCAGCCCUGGAUAUAUAGGCUUUAGCUCCUCAACCAGACUGUGAAUUUCUUAAAGACAGGAACUAGUCAAGUCUCUGGGAUCUUUGCUGGGUGAAUGUUGAGUGAGUAAGAAGACUAAAUUAAUGAGCACAAUAAAGAGACUGGGCAUGAGCUCAUGAGUCUAGCUGGGCCCUUGGUUCUCAAGGGAGGAAAUCUCCUUUAACCCCAGGAGAGAUUGCUUUGGUUUUGGGAGCUGGCAUGAGGGAAAGCAAGAUCUUCACAAGCUUUCUGAAGCAAAGUUAGAGCCAGGACUCUCCCAGUUCUUCAGGUCAUUCAGUUUGUAGUAAUCUAACUCUUACUAGAUGCAAAGUAUUGCUGUUUGCUUUCUUUUCAGCACCUUGGGCUUCAAAAAAUAAUGGUGCCACUCAAUGCCCUGAUUCCUUCUCUACAACAUGGAUGGACCCUGCCCAAAGAGCCUCCUGGGAACAAUCAGAUGGACACCAAUUCACUUAAAAAGUAAGUUCUCAUAGUAUAUAUUUGAGGCAUUUUUUUUCAGGGAAAACUGUUGGAAAUCAGGGAAAGGGUUUCUUUUCCAAAUGUCAGAUGUAAGCUGAUUCCUCAAAGCCCCUGUUCUUAGGCUAUCUCAAUAUGAGUGGCUUAUGCACUGAUCAAGCUAUUUGGAGUUGCUGUAGGUUUAGAUAAAUGUGCUAUUGUAGGGGUGAACCCUCAAAGUUUGAUAAGGCAGCAGAAAGAAAAGGAAGGUAAGAUGCCCUCACCAAUUUAAGAUGGGGGUACACUGUCAGAUGGGAUGGAAAAGGCAGGGACUUUUAUUCAAGACAUCGGAGCUUGCAUCAUGGUUUUGUCAGUAAUCAGAGGAAGUUGGGCAAAACAUUUAACCCCCUAAGUCCCAUUUAUCCUUUGUGAAAUAAAGCUCUAUAUUAAAUCCCCCUGGAUAAUAAAGUUACUAUGAAAAAUAAAUUAGAUAAACUAAAUAAAAACAUAUAGAAAAACACUGAGCAAAUUUCCUGGCAUCAGCUAAAUCUGAGAUGAAUGAAGAUUUGGACGACACAGAUGACAGGAGUGUGAGGUAUAUGAGAGCCAGUGAGUGUCUGGAUGUCACCCUCAACCUGGGCCACACAGGCAGUCAGGCUCAGCAGAGCCACAACUAGUGGGCGGGAGAGGGAAUACUCAAAAUUUAAUAACUUGAAGCUUAGAGUUAAAAGUGAAUUGUGUAAAAUAGAAGCCACCUUUUCUGAAUGGAUGCUGGGCUGAUACACUUAGUCUAUCAGCCCAGGGAGGCAGGGGCUCACCAUCCCACCUGUUCUAAAGAGAUUCUGGGUCAUGGAUUGGCAACGACAGAGUUACUUUAUGGAGGUUAAAUGACUAUAAUGAACCAGAUCAAGGGAAUUAGGGAUUUCCAAUUGAAAACCCUGUGUAUUUUAUUAAUUGGUUCUAGUAUUCAGAAUAGCCACCCCCUGCAUUUCCACGGAGACAUGCUAAGAGUCCAAAGUCUUUAUAAAAGGCCAGCCCACUCUUUGAAUGGGAAAUAUGAAUUCCAGGAAUAGAUCCAUCUGUGAGUAAGUUCUCAUGCUUGCUCUGCUUCUUUGUACCUUGCAUCUCUCAUCCAAUGUCUAAAUGUUUAUUUAUUUUUUUAAAAUCUCAGAACAUGAAGUUUAGAUGAACAAACUGUGGGGCAAUCUCUGUGUAGGGCUGAGGGAAUUAGGUGCCAUUGGGGAAGGAGCUGAAAAAAAUCAAUUUUUCAUAGCCUCCUUUUCCAUCUUUCCCAUAUUUUUGUGGUACUUGGAAAGGCGCAGAACCACUGUACUAGUUAUAAGAGAAACUGGGUCUUUGCCCAGACUCCAAAGACUCAGUCCCCCAUUAGUGCAUAUGCUCUGCCCAUAGUGACCAGCUCCUGGGCUGCUACAGUGAGUGCCCAGAGCUGACUGAGGAAUGCAGAGCUCGACUAGCUAUGGGAAGCUGCAGUGGUCUCAAAUAUUCUGGAAGGUUGGCAUGACCAGGGUUAACUGGAAUCUUAUUAAGAAACAGAGUAGGCUCCUCCCUGUGUCUCUUGGGAAGCUUUGGGCUUUAAGAAAUUCCAUUCAUUAUUCAAGAAUUCCUUCUGUUUGGCUUUAAAAACUCAGUGGUUCCAGACAUCAAACCUAGAAUGGCCAAUUGACACCUUCCAAUCCUCUGGUUUACCCUCACCAACAGAGAUAUCCAAAUCACCACCACUCUAAGGCUCCAUUCCACCAGGCUUCCACCAUGUGGGAAGGACCAGAUGAAUGGGUUUUAUACAUUCACAACAAAGCUGCAGGGAACUAACUUUUGAACCAAGCCAUGCACAUCAACACAUCAACAUCUACAAGCCCUGCUGUGUGUGUGUGGGGGGGGGGGGGUCCCUGAAGCUUCGGAAGAAGGAGGGAGGUUACCCAGAAGGGGGAGCUACUCUCUGGAUCACAUUACUGAACAAAGAAUAACUGGCUGCAGCUUGAAAGACCAUUCUUUCAACCAAAUUGGGUGAAUGGUAACAGACAGUGAAUGAUGAUGUUAACAGACAAUAUAGUUUAAAUAUAAGUUUCUGGAAAUUGUCUUGGACCCUCAUAAAAAAAAGCAAUCAAUGUGAAUGAAUAAUGUAACAUGACUACAAGACUGACCAUCUUCAUGCAUUCUAUGCAUCCUUCAAAACCCAAUUCAAAUGCAAAUGUUAGUGAAGCCUUCUCUUAUACCUCUACUUGAAAGUAUCGCUUCCUAUUUUGGAAGCCCAUAACACCUCUUUUAGGGCUUUAUUUUUCACUGUAUUAUGGUAAUUAUUUAUGUACAUUUCUUGCCUCAUAUUUAGUUCCUUGGGGUUUGUAUCAUCUUUAAAACCCCUCCAGUUCUAGCUCUGCACCAGACAUAGUAGGUGUUCAAUAAAUAUUUGAUAGCCAAGUGAAUGAUUGAAUUUGAAAUGGGAAUACUGUUCUGGCAGGAAAGCUCCAGUGGGAUAAAAUAAAUCUAUUAUCUGCCACCUUGUUCGUGCCAAGAGGAUCAGGACAUGGCAGACCCAGUGCUCUGAGAAAUCCAAGGUCAAAGAGUCUCUACCAUGGCUGUACCACAUCUCAAAUUCAGGUAUCAUUUGUACCAUUCAAAUUCUAUCAUUUGCCACAUCCCAUUGAAAUAUACCUCCUACCUCUGAUUUCAAAGUUCCUCAAGCAUAGAAGUUGUUCCUGUUCAAAGCAGGGCAUCCAGAAAGCAGCUAGCGAGUCAGAAGUGAAUUCCAAAUUGAAGAUUUCUCUGGAAGUUUAAGACCAAGUAACAACCAUAAACAGAACUAAAUGCAUCUCUGUCUAGAAUACUCACAUCCCAAGACAGCCUUCUCCCUUCAAAGGGGGCAGACUAGUAACAAUGAAAAAAAUAUCACAUCCAGACUAGUAACAACGAAAGGAAGAUCACAGCAUCCUCAUGGCAGUACAAAAACUUCCCACAACAGCCCUACAGCAACAGUCAAGCCCCAAAAUUAACCCACUUUGCAGAGACCUGGUCUCUGCUCAGAAAAGAAAGGGGAGAAGAUACAAUACCUUUCCACAAUGAGGUGAUGUUCUACACCCCUUCCCCACUCCCAUGCUUGUUCUGACAUGUCCCGGAUUCCCUCUCAACCAAGGGAGUUACGCUCAUGUGUCAGCAGUGGAGCACUACAUGGACAAAACUGGCUCGUCUGGGUCAGAAGUCAUGUCAUGUCCUCUACUAGGUUUACUUUUAAGAGUUUGAUCCACUCAGAUCCUUCCCCUCUAAGAAAAAGAGUAAACCCAGUGCUUAGGGCUACCAACACAUACACCUAAAAAGUCUCUAUUUUUGAUGCAGCAAAUUCCUUAUGUUCACUCUGAAAUCUCCUACUUAUCUCUGUCUUAGUAGUGAUUUGGAGGUGCAAUAGGUGUGGGCAUACAGGAAGGGUGGCACCAAGUGUGGAAAUGGCCCAUAACCUGCCUGCAAAGAGAAGUCAGCCCAGUAUUCAAGCUUCAGAAAAGUCUCCAGUAAACAAAGUGUCCCUUGUGGGAGAACCGGGGACUCUGAGAUGCUAGGAAGAUGGAGCAAAAAGAGGAUGGUGUGGAUAGCUAUGUAGUGAACUUUCUCUGGGCACUAGGUGGGCUGGAGGGUAAUGCUACAAGAAGGACUCACACAGAACCCCACCUAAAAACUGGCUUCUCUCAAUCUGCAAUAGUUAUGUCAACAAAAGAACAGGGAAUAAUAAGAAUUGUGCUUUAUCGUACCUAAAAAAACAAAUCAAAACUUUUCUUAAGCAUUUAAUUAUUUCAAAAGAAAUCUUGUAAUCCGGGGAAGCUCAGUGAGAUGGUAAAUUCCUCAGAAUCAAAAACCAAAUUUGGAAGCAUAUUGUCAUUGUGCCUCUGUGUGUGUGUGUGUGUGUGUGUGUGUGUGUGCAUGUGAGUGAAUAUAUCAUAUAUUCCCACUCACCUACUUACAGGUAUAUAUAGAAAUACAUAUUUAUCAAUGGAUUUUCCUCCCUUCAAGUCAACACCAGUGUGUUCCACCUUCAGUACACAUGUAUUAUCUGCAUUCCAAUUCAUAGACAGACCAUUAAUACCAUAAAAAGAGAGAAAUAGCUGAGAAUAGGCAAAGUAUAACCUAGCAAGAAUUGUUUUAAGUGCCGGUUCAAACAGAGCAAACCUCCCCCAAAUACAAGCUAAAAUGUCUGUUAUUAAUACACACUCGCAAUUCUUUAAGGUCAUCAGAAGAAAAAAGGGCAGAGAAAAAGACAUAUUAUGAAAUUGAAUCUUAAGUGUUUUCCUUUUUUGUAGUCUUUGUAUGUAUUUUAAGGGAAAACUCGCCAUUUGUAGAAAUGAUUCUCCCCCCUUCAGUUACUUUUCCCUAGCUCUCUCUAGAGCUAGGGAAUAAUAAAAACAUGUACAGAGUUUUGCUGAUUUAUCAUUUUUAAGAAUCUUUCAUUCUAACUUAUAGAUCUUUCUUUAUCCUAUUUAAAACAUUUAAUGAGUUCGAGAAAUGUCAUAUAUUUCGGCAAAAGACACAGAAAAACAAGGGUUGUUGAACUAUACAAAGUAUCUAGGGCUCACGACUUAGAUGUGCUUAGCUUAAGGAAAAUAAUUGUGUUUAAACACAUAGAAAAAGGGAAUCAAUUGCAGACAAUCCACCUUGAAUUUUCUAUUUAAGAUGCUUUCACCCUGUACUGUAAUUGGUCAGGAUUCUUCCGAAAAUUUUGAGUCUUUAUGGCAUCGCUGGCUUGUAGAUUACAAAUGUUUCCAAAUCACCAUCCCUCUUAACACAUAGUAUGGAAAGAGUUCCAGAAAGUUUAGAGAAGAUGUGAGGGCUGGGCACAAGGUAGUUCACCACCAAAUAGCACAACACACAAAAUCAACCUAGAGAAAACAGCAAAAUCAAAAAGUUGAAAGCAGCCAGGUCAGACUAGAAUGCUAGGGUGUCAGUGAGUACCAUAUUCCAUGCCAAGAAAUUGAAAUUAAAAAAAGAAAAAAAAAAGAAAGUUGGACAUAAAUCAAUAUUGAAAGCUUCAAAAAGUCAAAGCCAAACCAAUGUUUCCUUUUUCCCCCUAUGCACAAACCUUUUGUUUUAAACCCAAUGGCAUUGAGAUCAGUAAUUUUAUCUGGAAGAUUCAAGUCUGCAGAGACACUCCCCUUCCAUUGAUCACUUGAGUCCACAGAAAUAAAGCACCUUUGGAACCAAGAGUUGUUCAAGAAUCCUAGUGUCUUAUUCAAUGUGUUGAAAAAGUACAGUUAAAAUAAUUAGAAUAAUUCAUCAAAUGACAAACACAAUUAUAUUGACUCUAGUGAAUAGGCAAAAGGGCUCCCCAGGACAAUUCAUAACUAAGGAGAUAGAGCACAAUAAAAGGCUAUGACAUUUUAUGAAUAUUCUGUGUUAUAGCUUUGAACUUUAUUGCAAAGCAAAAAAUAUAUAUUUUUAUAUAUAUAUAUUUUUAUCUACAUUUCACCUCUGACAUUGUACACAACACGAAAGCACAGAAAACCAAAAAAAUCAUAAUGAGGUAGAUACAUAACACUUACAGAUGGAGGAGACUAAAGAGUUUAAAUUUGGCUUAAUACUGUGGUCACCAAUGUAUGCAUUUUCAACACAGCAGCAAGCAUUGAUUCACAGGGCAAGAAGCCCAGUGAUCUCAAACCCAAAAAUAAGCCCCAUUAAAAAAUACCUGCUUCAAAAUGAAAAAAAAAACAUUUUUUUAAAAGUCAGGGAAUCAGAUGUGUUCAAUCGCAAACCCUGGUGAAAUAAAAAAGAAGGGGGGAGGUUGUUUUUGCUUUUGUGCCAGGAGAAAAAAAAAAAGUAAUUUUCACCUAUCCAAUUAGGAGUAACCUGUCCCAUAGGUUUCUUCUGUGUAUUCCUGCUCAGUGGGGUUGGGUCAGCCUCAGGAGCUCUGUAGCCAGCUGUUGACGGUAAGGAAAUAGGGUUUCCUUCUUCCUUUUCCCUAGGGUAAUGCUCACCUCUGCAGCCACAGUGACAGGGACCACUAGCUUUUGAGGGCUCCUGAAACAUGCCAGGAAAUGGCUGGAAAUCAAUAUAGCUGUGAAGUCUCUAGUAUAGCUCUACCUUUCUAGGAUCAUGUGCUCUCUUGGUGGGUGAGGCAAGGGUUUGGGACACUGGGAUCACCUCAUUCCCCUAUCAAUCCCUCUUAUACCCUUUCCAAUGGAGAGCUGAGAAGGCCAUCUUCUGCCAUCUUCAAUUUUACUUAUGAAUGCAUUUUCACUGUAAAAUGUGAUGUCAGGUGGUGAUGGCUAUGGCAGAGACCACCUCCUUCCUUGUAUGCCGUCUUGAAUGGAAGGAGGACGGGGUGAAGAGAAGGGACCUGGAGAGGACACUUGGCUGGUUGAAGCAGCAGCUGGGAGAGCUGAGCAAUGGAAUGCCCAACUGAGGAAGGGGCAGGUCAGGCAAGUGCAGUUGGCCAAUGGAGACCUAAGGGGGUCCACCCAGAAAGCCAAGGAGUAACUUGGGUUUGUUGACAGUGCCUAGAAAACCCUGGAGACCCUAAAGAGAAUGUGGGAGAAGCAAGGCCCAGAGACAUUAAUGGGACUAAAAGUGGAAUAAAAUCAAACUCCCUUGGAUUGUUUAAUAGUUAUUUUUACGGUGGACGUGAUCUGCUUUUGGUAGGAUUUGCUCUGCUCCUAGAAAUAUCUGGGAACAGUUGCAGAACAGGUCAGCCUCAGGCAGGAGAGGAGACAGAGGGGUCCCAGAGGAAUGGUUGGUGAACUGGGGAUAAUGGAAGGAUGGGCAAGGAACUGAUAAGCAGCCACCUGGGAGAGAUUUGUCACAUGAGCAUAUUGUACCUUCAAGUCAGCCUAUGCUGGGCAGGGCCAGGCGCUGUUUUCUGGAAGCCAGAGUGUGAACAGUACUCUCCCAUGUGUUUGUGCAUCAUCUCCCCUGCUGGACCAUCUUUCCUCUUUGUCUUCCCAAUGCCUACCCCAGGGCCUAGCCAAUAGAGGGCAUCAUCAUGGUUGAACUGCAUUUUUAGAAAAUGGAGUAAGAGAAUGGAUUGGGAAAGAAGAGAAAGUGUCCAGUGUCAUAAAGGUUUUGAAGACCCCAUAUUCCCCCUCAAGGCAAUAGCUGGGUGUAUUUUUGCCUGCCUAGAUGCAUCUCAAGUGAAUACUCACAUUUGAAUUUUGAACAUAAAACAUACUUAGAGGAAAUAAUACAGUAGCAGGGCCCAAUGGGAAAGGAACUGAACACAAUUCAUCUGAAUAUAUGUCAAAACUGAGGUCUCAGCAAAGCUGGGCAACUGCUUCCAUCCUGACUGGCCUGGAAGAUCAGCGGGGUGGGGGGGGCAGUGUGUGCAAUCUGUCUUGAGUACUUAAUUCCAGAAGGCAAAGACAAAGUGAACUUGCAACUAUCACUCUCAAGUGAUUCCCAGUCUUACCUUACAGGAGAUCCUGGGCAAGGCAAGGCCAUGGGCACUUCCAAACAUCCCAAAGCUCACUAAUCCAGAGUCUAGAUCUCUGUCCCCUCAGAGACCCAAAGCAAAAGGAAUCAGUCAGGAUUGUAAGAUGCAUCAUUCAAGUCAUUAUAAGGUGGAGACUAUCUGACUACCAGGCAUUCAACAGUGAAUGAAGGCAAGGAGAAUUUUUUCCUUGGAGACCCUUGAGAAGAAGUUUGAUAUUUUUUUGUCUGUGUCUGUGAGGAGGAGCAAAAAUUAGGUGAUGUCUGAGUCUCCUUCAAACCCUGAGAUUCCAUUGUUUCUUUGUGCUCUGAAGAAGCUCCAGCUUUGCUCAAGGACUGAGGGAUUUUUCUUUGUGUAUAAUUGCUGGGACUAUGGCAGGAUUAGGAUAGGGUGUGUGCACGUGUGUGUGCAUGCAUUUGUGUGCACACGCAUGCAGGUAUGCUCAGAAGCUGUCCAGUAGGCAUUAAGCUGACAUAAUUGUAAGCAAACAUGUAAAGCAUGAGGCUGCCUCAGAGAAACAAUAAGUAGGGUGCAUUACUCCCUUCCCCUGACUCUCUCUAAUCUGCCCUUUCCUGCCCAUUUCCUGUCGUCCCUUGUGCUCUUCCUCUCUCAUUUAGAUAGUUUUUGUCCCCUUUGUCAGUGCACAUGACAGUGACAAUCACUUUCUUAAGCCUAAUAUUUUGAUGUUGGUCAUUUCAUUCCCUGGCUUAGGAAUUCACAGUGUCUUUCAACGACUUCUCAUCCCAAAUGACUUUCACCAAAUGCAAUAACCUGUCUCAUUAUUUUAUUACUUUUCUGGUUUGGAUUGAUCAUAGAGAUCACCAGGCUCACCCUUGUGUUUUAGAUAUGGGGAAACUGAAACUUACAGAAGGCAAGCUACUAGGCGAGGAAUGAUGGGUACAAGAGCAGAAUGCAGGUUCCCAGGCUGCCCCCACCACCAGUGCCCUUCCCCUGGCCUAACACAGGCAGCUUCUUGCCAUGCCUGGCCUAGAAUGGCUCUUACUCUCUGCCAUGUCAUAGGCAUUGUGUUCAGAAACCUACUCCGAAUUUACCCUGUGAGGCUUACAUUUCUGAAUCUGCCCUAACUCCAACCGUUCAACUCUUUUUACAGAUCCUUGGAGAAAUAACCCACUUAUCUGGAAAUCUCCUCACCUUUUAAGACCACACACAAAAGUAACAACAACAAAACCUACAGAAAGAAGACACAGAAGUUCUCAGGCCAACCAGAAAAGACAUCUCAAAGUGUUUAUAGGGAGGCUCCCAUUCCAUGGAAGUCUUCAAGAACUCAUACUGUACAGGUCAUGCUCAGGGUGACCUGUGGGAAACAGGCAUCAUUUUUCCUGGGGAUACCUUAUUGCAUAAAUGGUCACUAAAUUUGUAAGUGCCCUAAAACCUCCCACACUCUCUUAGCCUCUCUGGCCAUCUGCAAGAAAACAAAAAUGCCAAGACUGCCUUCAUCCCAGCUGGUCCUUGAUGGGUGCUCUGAGCUACCUGGCCUUUAUGAGCUGUUGGGAAAGGACAUGAGUGGAGCCUGGAUCUUGAGGAAGAGUGGGA
rnacentral:lncRNA from 1 species